rnacentral:rRNA from 1 species
CUACGGGAGGCACCAGUGAGGAAUAUUGCACAAUGGGGGGAACCCUGAUGCAGCAACGCCGCGUGGAGGAUGACGCAUUUCGGUGUGUAAACUCCUUUUAUAUGUCAAGAGAAUGACGGUAGCAUAUGAAUAAGCACCGGCUAACUCCGUGCCAGCAGCCGCGGUAAUACGGAGGGUGCAAGCGUUACUCGGAAUCACUGGGCGUAAAGGACGCGUAGGCGGGUUGGAAAGUCAGGUGUGAAAUCCUACAGCUUAACUGUAGAACUGCACUUGAAACUUCUAAUCUAGAGUAUGGGAGGGGGGGAUGGAAUUAGUGGUGUAGGGGUAAAAUCCGUAGAUAUCACUAGGAAUACCUAAAGCGAAGGCGAUCUCCUGGAACAUUACUGACGCUAAGGCGUGAAAGCGUGGGGAGCAAACAGGAUUAGAUACCCUCGUAGUC